UACGUAGGGGGCUAGCGUUGUCCGGAAUCAUUGGGCGUAAAGCGCGCGUAGGCGGCCCUGUUAGUCCGCUGUAAAAGUCAAAGGCUCAACCUUUGAAUGCCGGUGGAUACUGCAGGGCUAGAGUCCGGAAGAGGCGAGUGGAAUUCCUGGUGUAGCGGUGGAAUGCGCAGAUAUCAGGAGGAACACCAACGGCGAAGGCAGCUCGCUGGGACGGUACUGACGCUAAGGCUCGAAAGCGUGGGGAGCGAACAGG
rnacentral:rRNA from 1 species